CGGACGGGUGAGUAACGCGUGGAAAACCUGCCGUAUACUGGGGGAUAACACUUAGAAAUAGGUGCCAAUACCGCAUAAGCGCACAGCUUCGCAUGAAGCGGUGUGAAAAACUCUGGUGGUAUACGAUGGUUCCGCGUCUGAUUAGCUAGUUGGUGGGGUAAUGGCCUACCAAGGCAACGAUCAGUAGCCGGCCUGAGAGGGUGAACGGCCACAUUGGGACUGAGACACGGCCCAAACUCCUACGGGAGGCAGCAG
rnacentral:rRNA from 1 species